AAUUUCCCAUUAAAGAUGAUGAUGAAGAAGAAAUGAAAGAGAUGCUAAAUCCUUUGGUUAGUGAUAAAAAAAAAAAAGAAGAAAAACAAAUAGAGAAAAAUUUUGUUCUUAUCAUAUGAAUUAGACAACACUUAAUUUUAGACCUUACAUUAUAUUUAUGUACAUAGUAUAUUUAGCUACUCAGAGCCUUUGUUGUAAAUAGAGAAGCCUUUAACUCUUUUUAAAAAGAAGACCAUGCAAGUCAUCAUUAAUAACAUAUUUAAAAAUGAAUUUAAGAAAAAAAAGCUUAGAAAUUGCUUUUUUUUUUCUACAACAAUGUUAUAUAUACCUCUCAAUGUGAUAAAGAGUAAUUUAUAAAGUUCUAAAAAUCGGUUCGAAUUAGCCGGUUCGAUUAGGUUAAUGAAAAAUUGAUCAUCUUACCAAUUCAAUUGCUACAAAAAAUUGAUUAAAAAAUCGAUCGAAUUGACGGUUAACCGGCGAAUCGGCCUGAUUUUUCAAAGCAACGAUUUUUCAUUAUCCACCAAAACGGCGACAUGUUGAUGUCGAAAAAAAACCCUUUCUGAUUACUGGUGACCCAGGCACCCACCCAACCCAUUUUCAAACCCUAACCCACAUAGCUGCCUUAAUUUCCUCUUCCAGUCUUCCUCCAACAAGCUCCACAAUUGACGCCAGCAGAAGGAACUCCAACGGGUAGAAGGAACUCGCCGUCACGGAUUGAAGCUGCUGUUAGCGUCAUUGUCGCCUGGUCGUUUGAACUCUAAAGCUUCUGGCAUCAACAUCGUCCUGGUCAUCCUGGAACUUUAGGCCUUCUCUGCUUUCUGUUAUGUCCACACAACGGCGCAGCACACACUCCCUCUCAUCACCCUCGAGCUCGUGCUUCCUCUCACCGCCAGCGAGCUCAGUCCCUCACUUCCGUCCAGCCGCCAGACUGCUCCCGCCGUCAUCGCAAGAUGGAGUCGAAGCCACUGUCGCCAUCGUGCAGCUCAGUUCCACGUUCGUGCAGCUACCGUUUCAGCUUUGGAAGCACCGUCGCUGGGCUCGCCUCCUGCCUCCGUCGCGCAGCUUUGUUCCACCGUCGCCGGCGCCAACUCUGUUCCACCGGUUAGCGCUGUUCCCCCCUCUUGUCGAAGAUUGUUUCCAUAAGUGGCCAAACCACUGCUCUUGUCGAUACACAUGCCGUCAUAGCUGAGGCUGGGAUUAAUGCUAUUCGCGAAGGAUGCACACCGUACACCCCUAAUUGCGCAGAGCGAUUUGUCAUAAGUUGAAGGAGGAGAAUGGAAUUACAUAUACUCCUCAUCAGAUUGUGGUAAGCAAUGGAGCAAAGCAGAGUAUUGCUCAGACAGUGCUUGUAGUUUGUUCACCCGGCGAUGAGAGAUUUGGUUGUUCUUCUUCUCGCGCCUAUUCCCUGCUUCUUCUCGAUCGUUCUUUUCCCCUCCUUUCUCACUGAUUAUGGAUGAUUCAACCUCAGAUUGUCAGCUGAAUCAGGGCGAAGUGGAUUAUGAAUUUGAAUCUAACGAAGUUCCUGAGGUUUGAUUUACAUACGAUUACUCUGAAUUUUGUUGCAGUCAUUUGAAUAGCAUUGUGUAGCUGAAUAAUUCGUGAACAUUGACUGUGAAACUAACACGUUAACAUGAAUCUGUCGAUUGAAUGUAAUGUGUUAGUUUUGAUUAAUUAUCUGGAAUUUAUAGCAGACGCUCUGGUGUAGAUCAGAACUUUUUUGGGUGUAUUUUUUCGAGAAGUGUGGGUGUAUUUACUGUUUAUGGAUUUUUGUGUUAUGUUAGCUGAGUUGUUGUUGUUCGGGUGUAUUAUAUCAGACAUGAUUGGGUGUGUUUUUAGUUUUUGACAUGGUGUAUUCUGCAGC